UUGCCAUCAUUGAUUGGGCACUCUAAAGAGACUGCCGGUGUCAAACCGGAGAAGGUGGGGAUGACGUCAAGUCCUCAUGGCCUUUAUGACCAGGGCUACACACGUACUACAAUGGCCGGUACAAAGGGCAGCGACACAGCGAUGUGAAGCGAAUCCCGAAAAAGCCGGUCUCAGUCCGGAUUGGAGUCUGCAACUCGACUCCAUGAAGUUGGAAUCGCUAGUAAUCGCGGAUCAGCACGCCGCGGUCGAAUACGUUCCCGGGCCUU
rnacentral:rRNA from 1 species